rnacentral:rRNA from 1 species
GAUGAACGCUGGCGGCGUGCCUAAUACAUGCAAGUCGAGCGAAUAGACGAGGAGCUUGCUCCUCUGACGUUAGCGGCGGACGGGUGAGUAACACGUGGAUAACCUACCUAUCAGACUGGGAUAACUUCGGGAAACCGGAGCUAAUACCGGAUAAUAUAUUGAACCGCAUGGUUCAAUAGUGAAAGACGGUUUUGCUGUCACUUAUAGAUGGAUCCGCGCCGCAUUAGCUAGUUGGUAAGGUAACGGCUUACCAAGGCAACGAUGCGUAGCCGACCUGAGAGGGUGAUAGGCCACACUGGAACUGAGACACGGUCCAGACUCCUACGGGAGGCAGCAGUAGGGAAUCUUCCGCAAAGGGCGAAAGCCUGACGGAGCAACGCCGCGUGAGUGAUGAAGGUCUUCGGAUCGUAAAACUCUGUUAUUAGGGAAGAACAAAUGUGUAAGUAACUAUGCACGUCUUGACGGUACCUAAUCAGAAAGCCACGGCUAACUACGUG